rnacentral:rRNA from 1 species
GACGGACCGUCCGAACGUUAUUCGGAAUCACUGGGCUUAAAGGGUGCGUAGGCGGUGCGGAAAGUUGGGUGUGAAAUCCCUCGGCUUAACCGAGGAAUGGCGCCCAAAACUACCGUGCUUGAGGGAGACAGGGGUGAGCGGAACUGAUGGUGGAGCGGUGAAAUGCGUUGAUAUCAUCAGGAACACCGGUGGCGAAGGCGGCUCACUGGGUCUCUUCUGACGCUGAGGCACGAAAGCUAGGGUAGCGAACGGG